CCGGCGAGGGGGAAGUCUGAGAACUCUGGCUUGGCGGGCCGCACAGAUGGAAGGGCCUGGCAGUCUGCGGACAACAGGCUCAGUAGUGCGGCUAGCCCACUUGGGGCUCUUGCCCUUUGGGGACAGCUACGUCCUGGCCGCAGCCUUGCCAAGGCUGGUUCCUCAGCAGUGCUCCGGGCCCGAGAUGGUGAAGAAGGGAAAGCAUGGAGUUGGGGCCCUCCUGGCUACGACCCAGAGUUCCGACCCCGUUUCUUGGCCUGCUGGCCUGCCCGGGCACAUGCAUAGGCAGCCACCCGUGGAAGAGCGACUGCGAGCCUGGAGCGUCCCUGGUCACCAGCAUCGACACCCAAGGAGGCGUAGACAUUCGACUCUGGGGCCCAUCUGCUCGCAGACAAGGGUCACGUCGGGGCACACUGCCCACCCUAGGUCCGCGGGCCUCGGAGAGCCAACGCCGAGUGGGCCGCCCAGGUGUCCUCGGGUCCCUCCCCGCUUUCCCACCGAGCUUGCACGCAAGCACACGCUCCUGGCCCUCUGCGGGCGCGCGCGAGCCGGCCGCGCGCCCCCGGAAUCUAUAUUUUCCCCUCAUUAGGAGCCUGAGUUUCGCGUUUGCAUCUUAAUGAGUAGCUGGGAGCGCGCGGGGACCUCCACGUGAGCGGCCGCCCCGAGAUGGAGCCUCUCAGCGCCCGCUCCGGCCUCGACCGCGCUCCCCUCUUCAUUUAUUUAUUCUCCUAAAUAAAAACAUAAAUCGU
rnacentral:lncRNA from 1 species